rnacentral:rRNA from 1 species
CAGAGGUCCCGAGCGUUGUUCGGAUUUAUUGGGCGUAAAGGGUGCGUAGGCGGCGGAGUAAGUUGGGUGUGAAAUCCCGGGGGCUCAACCUCGGAAUUGCAUUCAAUACUGCUUCGCUCGAGUACUAGAGAGGAGGCUGGAAUUUACGGUGUAGCAGUGAAAUGCGUAGAUAUCGUAAGGAAGGCCGGUGGCGAAAGCGAGCCUCUGGACAGUUACUGACGCUGAUGCACGAAGGCCAGGGGAGCAAACGGGAUUAGAUACCCCGGUAGUCCUGGCAGUAAACGGUGCGCGUUUGGUGUGGGGGGAUUCGACAAUCUCCGCGCCGGAGCUAACGCGUUAAACGCGCCGCCUGGGAAAUACGGUCGCAAGAUUA